GCAAAGCAUUCCAUGCGGCUUGUAGGUGGGACGUCCUGUCUUGCACUUUUGAUUCAGAGCUCGGAUGAUGCAGACAAUCACAGAUAGGCUACCGGGCCUAAAAGGAGUUCAUAUCUUUGGGGUGGUAUAAACUAUGGAUGCAUCUACGAAACACGAUCUCUGCUCACAUCCAGUCCCAAAGGGUAACUAAGCAGUAGCCUUUCAUUUAGUGUUUGGCUGGUAACCGAAAUGUUACCGUUUCAAAUUCCCCAGCUGAAAAUUCUUAGUAUAACCUUGAGCAAGGCCUAAACUAUUUUGCUCUUGUUGGUCUCUCUGGCUCAGAACACCUGCUAACUGACCAAUAUUUUAACAUUUGUGGAUGGAGAGUGAUCGGAAUAUGUAGGCUAUGACAGCUAGCUGCUUAAAGAAAAUGUUGGUUAAAGCCUUGAACUACCCAAUUUAAAAUUCAAGGGCUAGACAUUUUUACCUGCACAUUUCCGAUUGUUGAUUUCUUUCUUUGGGAAUGUUAGUGAGUGUUCCCCUCUAAUUGGAUCAGGUGUGCAAGCUGUUGAGUAUUUCAAAUACAUGGAAUAACUGGGGGUUCCAGAGGAGUUUUGACAACCACUGCAAAAAUCCACCAGUCAUGUAAUCUCCAGUCCAGAAUCCAAACCACUAGAACAUUCUAUUUCGUGCUGACUUUCUAUUAGUCCUAGACACAUGAGGGUGUAGAGGGAAACCUACUAGAUACCUUGAGGGAACGGAGGACCAGGCCACUUUCAGGGCAUGUCCUCCUGAGUCAGUUUACUGUUUCCAGUACCUCUAUAGUUCCAUCAAACUUUUUCAUCCUCUUUAUGUUACGAGAAAUGUUUUUUCAGUCUGGAUGCAUCUUGUCCCGUAGUUGGAUACAGCUUUGACAUACUUUAUACAGACUCAGUAACUACCAUGGGCCUUGUGGUCUGUUUGUUUGACAUGCAUUUAAUGUGUCUCCAUAUUUAAUAAAACAUUUUGAAUUA